GACAGAGGGUGCAAACGUUGUUCGGAUUUACUGGGCGUAAAGCGCGUGUAGGCGGCUUUGCAAGUCGGAUGUGAAAGCCCACGGCUCAACCGUGGAAGUGCAUCCGAAACUGCAUGGCUUGAGUCUCGGAGAGGAAGGUGGAAUGCUUGGUGUAGAGGUGAAAUUCGUAGAUAUCAAGCAGAACACCUGCGGCGAAGGCGGCCCACUGGAUCGGUACUGACGCUGAGGUGCGAAAGCGUGGGGAGCAAACAGG
rnacentral:rRNA from 1 species